rnacentral:rRNA from 1 species
CAGCCUCCGCGGUAAUACAGAGGGUGCGAGCGUUAAUCGGAUUUACUGGGCGUAAAGCGUGCGUAGGCGGCUUCUUAAGUCGGAUGUGAAAUCCCUGAGCUUAACUUAGGAAUUGCAUUCGAUACUGGGAAGCUAGAGUAUGGGAGAGGAUGGUAGAAUUCCAGGUGUAGCGGUGAAAUGCGUAGAGAUCUGGAGGAAUACCGAUGGCGAAGGCAGCCAUCUGGCCUAAUACUGACGCUGAGGUACGAAAGCAUGGGGAGCAAACAGGAUUAGAUACCCCAGUAGUCCCUGUCUCUUAUAC